CAGCAGACGGUGUUACGACACAGAAAGUCUGACUGUGGACGUCAACACUGGAAUGAUGUGUUCAAGAAACGUGGAUUAUUGUUUGUCAGCAGCCAGGGAAACAUCCAAACUCCUGAUAUGACUAAACGACACGCACAAUAUGGAGACCUGGAGGGAGAGCGGCGACUGACUGAUUGACCCCAAGAGAUAGUCAUUUCCUGGACGACAAGUCAGCAACUCAGACAGUUUCACAUGAAACCUCUGAGCGUGGAGGUUCGACUAUCUUUACCUGGAGACGGUCUGUGUCCACCCCUAAGGACAGUUAGGAGGACUACUAUUAUGGUGCCUCUGUCAGUUCUCCUCCCCCUCCCUGCUCUGCUCCUGACUCCUCCAGCUGUGACUACUCCACUCAUCAAGACUCUGCUCUACUUAAGGAGACCCAGCUCCAGCAUUCAUCGCCAGUUCGUUACCCCUGAUGGACUUCAUGCCACGAGAGUCACCUGAGUCAGACGCUUCCACGAGCAGCAGCUACUUUCCUGAAUCUCCUGAGGAAACCUACCUCCUCAAGAUCCGCAGCCACGCCACUCGCCAAGAUCUCCAGCCACGCCACAAACUCCAAAGUACAUCAGAACCUCCAGCCUCGCCACGGUCGUAACUUCGCCAGAACCUCCAGCCACGCCAAAACUCUUAAUCUCAUCGGAUCGAAAUAAAUCCUUAUUACUCAUCUUACCACUUACCUGUGUCCUCCUCCCGGGUUUCAGCAUCUGGGUCUGUCUCGUUUUCGGAUCAUGACAACUACAUCUUAAAAGUGAUGACUUUUCCUGUAAAAUUAGCCAAAUCUGGAUUAAUAAUCCCAUUCAGAUCACUCAUAACUGGACACAGUUGCUUUGGACUCCUUAAAAUACUCUCAAUGGUGGGGCAGUUAUGGGGGUGUGACAGUAACAAAGACCUCAGCUAGAAGGUGACUGUGUCUAAAUAUAAAAACAAAGUGUUGGAUUUUCUUAGACUCCUAACAUGGAAUCACAGAUGUGUAAUGCACGGCUAAACUUUUCAGGGGUUUUUUAAUUCCCCUUUGUCAUUUUGAAUGAAUUUAAGGUUAGAUUUGUUGGCUCUCACUAUUUUUAGCACAACUGUGUCAGACCUGCUGCUACAAUGUGAUUUGGAUUAACCCAAAUGCAGGAAAAAAAAUGAUUUGAUAAAAACAUUAAGGGCGAUGCCUUAUUAUAUCCCACAAAGACUUGUGGGAUUAACAAACGGUACUUGGUACAAAAGGUACUUUGCUCCCAGGGAGUAUAGGGCAAGAACGCGGGGGGGGGGGUAAAAAAUGAAAAGGAAAGAAAGAAUUUUUAUAUUGGAUGAGAUUCAGGAAGAAACAAUAACUGACUGAUCUACUUACAAGGAUGUAUUUGUUAUGAUGAAAACUAAAGAGAGAAAAAACAUGAGAAAAAAAUGUAAAAAAAUUUACGACUUAGUUUUAGGGCCCGUUUACAAACUUUUUUUUUAAAUUACGACUUUUAAAUUUACGGGAAAAAAAGUAAUAACUGUUGAAUAACGAGAAUAAAGUUGUAAAUUUGCGAGUUUUUUUCCCAAAAGUCAUAAAUUAAUGAGGAAAAAACCCCAAAGUUGUCAGUGUUUAUCGGAGCCUAGCAAGAAGAUGGCAGAUGUGGAAUAUUCUUUAUGAAGCUUUGAUUCUGGAUAGGUUUCAAAAACAAAGAAUGUUUUGGCGACUCAAAAUCAGAUUCUUGUCUGUGUAGCCGUCUUUCCAAGAUUCGGUGACGGUAAAGCGGAGUUUCAUAAGUAAAAUAAGGAGCUCAGAGACACAUUUGGCUGAAGAGGACAGCAACUUUAAUUUUCCUUUUCAUUCACAUACGGUCGGUCCGCUCUGCAGUUGUGCGGCAUUCACUUGUCACAGUAGUGUCACUCCCACUUUAAUGUCGUAAAUUUACAAGACAAAACUAGUAAAUUGGUGAAAAACACUCGUAAAUUCACGACUUUAAAUCUUGUAAAUUUACUUUUUCAUUUUUUUCUUUGGCCCUAUAACUCUGUUGUAAUUUUUAGAAAACAAUUAUCAAAAAACUUCAACCUGAAUAAUUUAUCGUUGCUGCAAAACUACAAAACUAAACAUUUUGUAAAGUCUACCAACAAACAUAAUUUCUAGCCUUCAUAGUUAAUCAUCUUAAAGAAUAAUUUGUUUACUUCAAACAAACAAUUAGGUGAAGCUUUUCAUUUUAAUUAGACAAAAAACUCUGAUCAUGUUUCUUAGUGGCUGUCAUUCACACUCUCACCACAGAUGUGGGUCAGAGCUUUUCUGAAAAACCUCCAAAACUGAGCCAAACCAGAACGAGGUCAGACAGGAAUGACUCUUAAAUAGCUGUUCUGUCAGGUCAGUCACAAAAGACGGGAAAUGGAAAAAUUCGUCCCACAUGUUAAAUUUCUGGAUUCCAAUCAGGCAGCUUUCACAGCAUCUUCCUGACCACUCAAGGUUCAGCUGAACUCACAAUCAGGCCAUUUAUUCAGGGACGGGGGCCGUUGAAGUGGAAAUGCAGAAAGAUGAUGCAGAAAUCCUACACUUGUACGUUUUUUUUAUUAUCAAGUGAACCAAAAACCUGAUGAUGAAGAACAACUUUGGAAAGUUAAACAAUAAAACAUCUGUAUUUUUCUAGAGUUUUCUCAAAGGAGGCAGAAAAAAAGGAAAGCUGGAACAGAAGACUGGUCUGUAGUUGUCUAUGGCGUUAAAGUCAACGUUGUAUCUCAGUUUUAAAAAACUUCUCAAUGAGCUAAACCUGUAAGUAUUCUGUGGUCUGGUUUGGUUUUGUUGUUCUUGUUAAUGUUUUUGGUUUCCUUUUUGUCAGUCACACCAGUUUCAGGUUCAUGAUCCACAGCUGUCUCCGUUCAGUUAAUUGC